ACUCCAAUUUAACAGAAGAAAAGAAUAGUGGAUCACAUCAGUGAGCUUUCAACCAUAGAAGAACACACGAUGAUAAAUUAAAGGUGUUAUGGAGCAGGAACAAAGCAUAUUAUAUCAAUAGGUGACCAAAAACAAGGUUCAUUAGAGGAAUACAACCUUGAGGGCUUCAGUAAAUAUCACCAUUGAUAUAAUAUUACAUCGAGAAUAAAAACAGCUGCCUGAUGAAUUUCUUCGCAAGCUCACUGGUGUGGCAGAAGAACUCUUCAUCAAACUCAUAAUUUAUGGCCGAAAUGUUUCCAAGUGUGUCCUGUUUGGUUUCUCCCAGGAAGGGUGAAGCACCACUCAGUCUAAAAUAAAACCAAUCCAAACAGCUGUA